rnacentral:rRNA from 1 species
CCUACGGGAGGCAGCAGUAGGGAAUCUUCCACAAUGGGCGAAAGCCUGAUGGAGCAACGCCGCGUGGGUGAAGAAGGUCUUCGGAUCGUAAAAUCCUGUUGUCAGAGAAGAACGUGCGUGAGUGUAACUGUUCACGUUUCGACGGUAUCUAAUCAGAAAGCCACGGCUAACUACGUGCUAGCAGCCGCGGUAAUACGUAGGUGGCAAGCGUUAUCCGGAUUUAUUGGGCGUAAGGGGAACGCAGGCGGUCUUUUAAGUCUGAUGUGAAAGCCUUCGGCUUAACCGGAGUAGUGCAUUGGAAACUGGGAGACUUGAGUGCAGAAGAGGAGAGUGGAACUCCAUGUGUAGCGGUGAAAUGCGUAGAUAUAUGGAAGAACACCAGUGGCGAAAGCGGCUCUCUGGUCUGUAACUGACGCUGAGGUUCGAAAGCGUGGGUAGCAAACAGGAUUAGAUACCCCGGUAGUC